AGGGUUGUGUGUCAAUGACAUUGACUGUCCGAAAGAUGAGAAAUGCUGCAGUACUAAAUGUGGACGCAAAUGUACACCUCCAUAUAAAGUGAGGCCUGGUCUAUGUCUCAAACCAAAUGUGUGCUGAUAACUCUUCCCAACUCUUCCGUAUCCUGCCGGACAGAAGUGUUGCCUAACCACCUGUGCAUGCAGCGCACCAUGCCAGUUUAGCCAUCGGGAAAAAGUCCUCGAUUGUUCACUGUGUUUUUCUUUUUGUACAUGCUAUACUUGAUCUUUUCAAUUCAUUAAAUCUCAUAGCUUAGUGAAACGUGUGUGUGUGUGUGUGUGUGUGUGUGUGUGUGUAAAUAAUAAAU